rnacentral:rRNA from 1 species
CUUACGGCUCAGUAACACGUGGAUAACCUGCCCUUGGGUCCGGGCAUAACCCCGGGAAACUGGGGAUAAUUCCGGAUAACGCACAUAUGCUGGAAUGCUUUAUGCGUAAAAUGGAUUCGUCUGCCCAAGGAUGGGUCUGCGGCCUAUCAGGUAGUAGUGGGUGUAAUGUACCUACUAGCCAACAACGGGUACGGGUUGUGAGAGCAAGAGCCCGGAGAUGGAUUCUGAGACAUGAAUCCAGGCCCUACGGGGCGCAGCAGGCGCGAAAACUUUACAAUGCGGGAAACCGUGAUAAGGGGACACCGAGUGCCAGCGUCAUACGCUGGCUGUCCAGGUGUGUAAAAUACACCUGUUAGCAAGGGCCGGGCAAGACCGGUGCCAGCCGCCGCGGUAACACCGGCGGCCCGAGUGGUGAUCGUGAUUAUUGGGUCUAAAGGGUCCGUAGCCGGUUUGGUCAGUCCUCCGGGAAAUCUGAUAGCUCAACUAUUAGGCUUUCGGGGGAUACUGCCAGACUUGGAACCGGGAGAGGUAAGAGGUACUACAGGGGUAGGAGUGAAAUCUUGUAAUCCCUGUGGGACCACCUGUGGCGAAGGCGUCUUACCAGAACGGGUUCGACGGUGAGGGACGAAAGCUGGGGGCACGAACCGGAUUAGAUACCCGGGUAGUCCCAGCCGUAAACGAUGCUCGCUAGGUGUCAGGCAUGGCGCGACCGUGUCUGGUGCCGCAGGGAAGCCGUGAAGCGAGCCACCUGGGAAGUACGGCCGCAAGGCUGAAACUUAAAGGAAUUGGCGGGGGAGCAC